AAAGGAAAAGGUCGAACAAGUUAGGUACACUUUCUAGAAAGAUACUUUUCAUACCGCCCUCGCUAGCAUAGCUCGAAGAAAUUGGUGGAAUGCAGGAGAUCCAGAAGAUCAUCCGAUUGCACAGUUAUGUUAAAGCUUAAAGCUCAACUUGGGAAUGCAAUAGGUACAGGCGAAUAGACUUUAUUCAUGUGAAAUCAGUCCCCUGCAUAGUUUCACUUACGGCACACGUAUAUAUAGAUUUUCGUGAUAGCAAUCGCAGAGUGAAUGGUGAAGACACGUGGAGUUACAUAACUUCCAAUUUUUCGCUAUUAUCCAAUCAUCCACUGUUUAUUUGGAUUAAUAAUCCCGAAGAGUGGCGUUAGCUGAACUACCCGAGGGAAAAGUGCAAAUAAAGUGAAAUUCUUGAAAGAAGCAAAGGGAUAGGAGUACUGGAAAAUCUUAAUACAGCCAAGCUGGCCAACCAAUCUACGGUAUCAACUACUAAAACAACAAAGCUGACCGUUUGGGAGUUAGUGCAGUGCACAUCCACGGCGGCAAAGUGAAGGCUGAACCGUUGACGUUGGGCUAGCUCAAUACCGGAAAUCAUUUACGGCUCGUGAAAGACCAACCACCAUACACCACUGCUGAAUGUCCCAACUUCAGUUUGAACCUGCCGAUCUCAAAAAGCCGGAGGACAUAAUCGUCACCAACCUACGAAAAUCGUAUACAAAUGAAUCCGUCAAAGUCAUCUUGGGCCCAACGAUACACCUAUGAGUUUAACCAAUUACUGUGAGUACCACUAGUGGCUGAAACCACAAUGCCUAUACACCAAUUCAGGCGUAAGUUUGAUAAAGUAGAUAUAUAUAUACUGAUUUGAAAGAAUAUUUCCCCCCUCAAAUGCUCAAAUAAUUAAGUUUUUUUUUUGCUGAUCCAAGAAGAAGGAAGUUUGUAUAUUUUUGUUUAUUUGUAAAUGUAAGGUAUCGGAUUAUAUCUGUAAUUUAUGUAAAAAAUAUCAAUACAAUCUCUUAUGGUUAGGGACAUUUAACAUAAAAAAAUAAAAUGAAUUGGUAAUCAUGAAUAUGUCUGCCUAAACUAAAUAUUGUCUCCGUCCGUCAAGUACUUAUGCUUAUCUCCCUCAAAAUGCACUAGAAGAUGUUGAAUCUUUGAAAUGGGACAACGCCCGAAUGUAAACGCGUUUGUCAUGGUUGGGUGGGUAAAGACUAGGGACAUAUAUCACCGCUGUUCCCUCCAUCAGACAGAAGACGAACUACACUUUUUCUAAGCGUUUUCUAAAUGCGUAUCGGCGCAGAGUAGAAAUGAGUUUUCUUUAUUGGUUAUUGAUAUUAACGUCGAGAUCCUGUUUAAUUUUUUUUUGAAGCGCAUUAUAUUGAUUUGUGUCAGGAAAACUGUGUAGCUAGGGGAGAAAGAACCCCGACCAAUCCGACGAGCUGGACCCGAGCACAGCAAGAAUGCGCGCCUUCGAACCUAGCUUCCUAUUAACAUGAGGUCAG